AAAAUACUCAGUAACAUCACAGAAUUUCUCAUUCCCAGCAGGAUAUCUGAUGUAGAAGGCCUGGGUCUGGCAUAUCAAAGGUAUUCAGGGAAAGAGGUUGGCAUGAUUUAGCAUGGCUCUGAGUCCCAGCAGGUGAAGCCCAAAUCCCCACCUAGCUCUACAGCGCUCCAGUUUUAUACCAGUGAUGCAGUAGCAUCCACACUUCUUCCCUUCAUUAACUCUUUUCCUCAGCAGUGCACAGAUUUCUCCUGUUACAGUAUUUUAAGAUGUAAGCACCAUGUUUUCAGUAUUUCAGUGAUUGUUCCUAGGUCUUUCCUUUUUGCAUCACCAAAUCCCCUGUCCCUGCUGCUUCUGUACGCCCACUCUUGUAUACUAGCACUGGCAGACUAAAAGGCAAUGUACAUUCUGCUGAUUUGACAAGACAACUGUAUGGAUAUUGAACUGUCCACCAGAAGACUCAAAAUUCAUGUUCUCUAUCCCAUUGCCACAGAGAAAAUCCAUUUGUCUUGCAGUACUUCAGAACAAUGAUUGACAAGGCUAUGAAGUUGAAUUGAUUUUGUAAUGCAGCUGGAUACUAACAGGAUGUUGAGAACAGUCUUUUUUUUCUCUAUCUGCUCCAGAACCAACCCAGCCCUCUGGCAGAUGUUACACCUGUCUUCACUGCAAAAGGACUGAAGGUGCAGAUGCCUUGCAGGAAGAGUCAGCCUGUUUGGAGGCAUCGCCUGUAAUGAGUGGUAUCCAGAAACACUGACUCACUGAAGUCAUGGAACAAUAAUGAAGGUUAACUGUCCAAAGGAAACACAGCAAAUGAAAACAUUUCUGAAAUGCCUAUUGCUCACGCUUGAUUUCUGGAGGGGGAAGAAGAAAAGUAAAUUGUUCAUGCAGAACUGUGCAGAGACACUCGUUUCAUUUUCUUGUUCCCUCCUAAGCAGUGCACAGAGACUGCCCGGCUGUGAGGCUUAA
rnacentral:lncRNA from 1 species